GACGAACGCUGGCGGCGUGCUUAACACAUGCAAGUCGAACGGAAAGGCCCUGCUUUUGUGGGGUGCUCGAGUGGCGAACGGGUGAGUAACACGUGAGUAACCUGCCCUUGACUUUGGGAUAACUUCAGGAAACUGGGGCUAAUACCGGAUAGGAGCUCCUGCUGCAUGGUGGGGGUUGGAAAGUUUCGGCGGUUGGGGAUGGACUCGCGGCUUAUCAGCUUGUUGGUGGGGUAGUGGCUUACCAAGGCUUUGACGGGUAGCCGGCCUGAGAGGGUGACCGGCCACAUUGGGACUGAGAUACGGCCCAGACUCCUACGGGAGGCAGCAGUGGGGAAUAUUGCACAAUGGGCGGAAGCCUGAUGCAGCAACGCCGCGUGCGGGAUGACGGCCUUCGGGUUGUAAACCGCUUUCGCCUGUGACGAAGCGUGAGUGACGGUAAUGGGUAAAGAAGCACCGGCUAACUACGUGCCAGCAGCCGCGGUGAUACGUAGGGUGCGAGCGUUGUCCGGAUUUAUUGGGCGUAAAGGGCUCGUAGGUGGUUGAUCGCGUCGGAAGUGUAAUCUUGGGGCUUAACCCUGAGCGUGCUUUCGAUACGGGUUGACUUGAGGAAGGUAGGGGAGAAUGGAAUUCCUGGCGGAGCGGUGGAAUGCGCAGAUAUCAGGAGGAACACCAGUGGCGAAGGCGGUUCUCUGGGCCUUUCCUGACGCUGAGGAGCGAAAGCGUGGGGAGCGAACAGGCUUAGAUACCCUGGUAGUCCACGCUGUAAACGGUGGGUACUAGGUGUGGGGUCCAUUCCACGGGUUCCGUGCCGUAGCUAACGCUUUAAGUACCCCGCCUGGGGAGUACGGCCGCAAGGCUAAAAUUCAAAGGAAUUGACGGGGCCCCGCACAAGCGGCGGAGCAUGCGGAUUAAUUCGAUGCAACGCGUAGAACCUUACCUGGGUUUGACAUGGAUCGGGAGCGCUCAGAGAUGGGUGUGCCUCUUUUGGGGUCGGUUCACAGGUGGUGCAUGGCUGUCGUCAGCUCGUGUCGUGAGAUGUUGGGUUAAGUCCCGCAACGAGCGCAACCCUUGUUCACUGUUGCCAGCACGUUAUGGUGGGGACUCAGUGGAGACCGCCGGGGUCAACUCGGAGGAAGGUGGGGAUGACGUCAAGUCAUCAUGCCCCUUAUGUCCAGGGCUUCACGCAUGCUACAAUGGCUGGUACAGAGAGUGGCGAGCCUGUGAGGGUGAGCGAAUCUCGGAAAGCCGGUCUCAGUUCGGAUUGGGGUCUGCAACUCGACCUCAUGAAGUCGGAGUCGCUAGUAAUCGCAGAUCAGCAACGCUGCGGUGAAUACGUUCCCGGGGCU
rnacentral:rRNA from 1 species